rnacentral:lncRNA from 1 species
ACUUAACUUGUUUGAAGGACUCUUUGGGGUGUGAGGAUGGUAAUAAACUUUUCAGCUUUGUCCCAUUUAAGGAAAAAAGCUUUCCAAGAAUGGGGCAAGAAUCAUAAAGACUUUCAGAAGUUCUACACUGCUUUAACUGCAGAGAGCGUCAAAGAAAAGAGUGUCCACAAUGGAAGAGAAAGAAGAAGAGGUGAAGUUAGGGGUGACCAAUGAAAAUUCCAUCUAAGUGACUUGGGGCAACACUAUCAUGUAUAGUGUUAAUAUACAUUAACACUCAAGGAAGAAUAAAUCUGAUUAUAAUAAUGCUUGCCAUUUAUGGAGAAUCUAUCAACUGAGUGUCUUGGAAUGCUUUGUGAAAUUUAAAUCAAUUCCCACAUCACCCC